rnacentral:rRNA from 1 species
GAUGAACGCUGGCGGCGUGCCUAACACAUGCAAGUCGAACGAGGCCCUUUGUAUUCGUACGAAGGUGUCCUAGUGGCGAACGGGUGAGUAACACGUUGGUGACCUGCCCCGAAGAGAGGGAUAACCCCGGGAAACUGGGGCUAAUACCUCAUGUGCUCCAUGGAGUUAGAGGUCCAUGGAGGAAAGGGAGCAAUCCGCUUCGGGAGGGCCUGCGGCCCAUCAGCUAGUUGGUAGGGUAACGGCCUACCAAGGCGACGACGGGUAGGGGACCUGAGAGGGUGGUCCCCCACAAUGGCACUGAAACACGGGCCAUACACCUACGGGUGGCAGCAGUGGGGAAUAUUGCCCAAUGGACGAAAGUCUGAGGCAGCAACGCCGCGUGCGCGAUGAAGGCCUUCGGGUUGUAAAGCGCUUUUCUGGGGGAAGAGGAAGGACGGUACCCCAGGAAUAAGUCUCGGCUAACUACGUG